GAUGAACGCUGGCGGCGUGCCUAAUACAUGCAAGUCGAGCGAACAGACGAGGAGCUUUCUCCUCUGACGUUAGCGGCGGACGGGUGAGUAACACAGGGUUAACCUACCUAUAAGACUGGGAUGACUUCGGGAAACCGUAUCUAAUACCGGAUAAUAUAUUGAACCUCAUUGUGCAAUAGUUAAAGUCGGUUUUGCUGUCACUUAUAGAUUGAUCCGCGCCGCAUUAGCUAGUUGGUAAGGUAACGGCUUACCAACGCAACGAUGGGUAGCCGACCUGAGAGGCGGCGCGCCAAAGCUGGAACUGGGACACGGUCCAGCACACUACGGCAGGGAGACGUAGGGAAUUUUCAGCGAUGGGCGCAAGCCGGAAGGAGCAACGCCGCGUGAGUGAUUAAGGUAUUCGGAUCGUAAAACUCUGUUAUUAGGGAAGAACGAAUGUGUAAGUAACUAUGCACGUCUAGAAGGUAACUAAUAAGAAAGCCACCGGUAAAUACGUG
rnacentral:rRNA from 1 species